ACGGGUGAGUAAUACAUCGGAACGUAUCCUGGAGUGGGGGAUAGCCCGGCGAAAGCCGGAUUAAUACCGCAUACGCUCUGAGGAGGAAAGCGGGGGACCUUCGGGCCUCGCGCUCAAGGGGCGGCCGAUGGCGGAUUAGGUAGUUGGUGGGGUAAAGGCCUACCAAGCCGACGAUCCGUAGCUGGUCUGAGAGGACGACCAGCCACACUGGGACUGAGACACGGCCCAGACUCCUACGGGAGGCAGCAGUGGGGAAUUUUGGACAAUGGGGGCAGCCCUGAUCCAGCAAUGCCGCGUGUGUGAAGAAGGCCUUCGGGUUGUAAAGCACUUUUGUCCGGAAAGAAAUCAUCGGGGCCAAUACCCCUGGUGGAUGACGGUACCGGAAGAAUAAGCACCGGCUAACUACGUGCCAGCAGCCGCGGUAAUACGUAGGGUGCGAGCGUUAAUCGGAAUUACUGGGCGUAAAGCGUGCGCAGGCGGUGCUGUAAGACCGAUGUGAAAUCCCCGGGCUUAACCUGGGAACUGCAUUGGUGACUGCAGCGCUGGAGUAUGGCAGAGGGGGGUGGAAUUCCACGU
rnacentral:rRNA from 1 species